rnacentral:SRP_RNA from 1 species
GCCAGGUGUGGUGGCUCACGCCUGUAAUCCCAGCACUUUUGGAGGCUGAGGCGGGCGGAUCACCUGAGGUCAGGAGUUCGAGACCAGCCUGGCCAACAUGGUGAAACCCCGUCUCUA